rnacentral:rRNA from 1 species
GUAGUCAUAUGCUUGUCUCAAAGAUUAAGCCAUGCAUGUCUAAGUAUAAGCAACUUGUACUGUGAAACUGCGAAUGGCUCAUUAAAUCAGUUAUCGUUUAUUUGAUAGUACCUUACUACAUGGAUACCUGUGGUAAUUCUAGAGCUAAUACAUGCUAAAAACCCCGACUUCAGGAAGGGGUGUAUUUAUUAGAUAAAAAACCAACGCCCUUCGGGGCUCCUUGGUGAAUCAUAAUAACUUAACGAAUCGCAUGGCCUUGCGCCGGCGAUGGUUCAUUCAAAUUUCUGCCCUAUCAACUUUCGAUGGUAGGAUAGUAGCCUACCAUGGUGGCAACGGGUAACGGGGAAUUAGGGUUCGAUUCCGGAGAGGGAGCCUGAGAAACGGCUACCACAUCCAAGGAAGGCAGCAGGCGCGCAAAUUACCCAAUCCCGAUACGGGGAGGUAGUGACAAUAAAUACUGAUACGGGGCUCUUUUGGGUCUCGUAAUUGGAAUGAGAACAAUUUAAAUCCCUUAACGAGG